rnacentral:rRNA from 1 species
GACGAACGCUGGCGGCGUGCUUAACACAUGCAAGUCGAGCGGUAAGGCCCUUUCGGGGGUACACGAGCGGCGAACGGGUGAGUAACACGUGGGUGACCUGCCCUCAGCUCUGGGAUAAGCCUGGGAAACCGGGUCUAAUACCGGAUAUGACUCCAUGACGCAUGUUGUGGGGUGGAAAGCCUUGUGCGGCUGAGGAUGGGGCCCGCGGCCUAUCAGCUUGUUGGUGGGGUGANGGCCUACCAAGGCGACGACGGGUAGCCGGCCUGAGAGGGCGACCGGCCACACUGGGGCUGAGACACGGCCCAGACUCCUACGGGAGGCAGCAGUGGGGAAUCUUGCGCAAUGGGCGAAAGCCUGACGCAGCGACGCCGCGUGAGGGAUGACGGCCU